rnacentral:rRNA from 1 species
GACAGCAGUAGCCGCGGUAAUACGAAGGGUGCAAGCGUUAAUCGGAAUUACUGGGCGUAAAGCGUGCGUAGGCGGUUUGUUAAGUCUGUUGUGAAAUCCCCGGGCUCAACCUGGGAAUGGCAAUGGAUACUGGCAAGCUAGAGUGUGUCAGAGGAUGGUGGAAUUCCCGGUGUAGCGGUGAAAUGCGUAGAGAUCGGGAGGAACAUCAGUGGCGAAGGCGGCCAUCUGGGACAACACUGACGCUGAGGCACGAAAGCGUGGGGAGCAAACAGGAUUAGAUACCCCUGUAGUCCCUGUCUCUUAUAC